rnacentral:rRNA from 1 species
AUUGAACGCUGGCGGCAGGCCUAACACAUGCAAGUCGAGCGAGCGGUGGACGGGUGAGUAAUGCCUGGGAAUUGCCCAGUAGCGGGGGAUAAAAGUUGGAAACGACUGCUAAUACCGCAUACGAUUGGAUUGCCCAGGUGGGUUUAGCUAGUUGGUGAGGUAAUGGCUCACCAAGGCGACGAGCCCUAGCUGGUCGGAGAGGAUGAUCAGCCACACUGGAACGGAGACACGGUCCAGACUCCUACGGGAGGCAGCAGUGGGGAAUAUUGCACAAUGGGGGAAAGCCUGAUGCAGCCAUGCCGCGUGUGUGAAGAAGGCCUUCGGGUUGUAAAGCACUUUCAGCGGGGAGGCGUUACUCACAGAAGAAGCACCGGCUAACUCCGUGCCAGCAGCCGCGGUAAUUC